UUUUUUUUAUGUCACUAGGUCGGCAAACAAGCGUAUGGCUCACCUAGUGGUAAGCGAUUACCGUAGCUUAUAGACACCUGCAACACCAGAAGCAUCGCAAGCGCGUUGCCGACCCAAUUCCUAAUCCCCCCCAGGAGCUCUGGUAACCUUACUCACCAACAGGAACACAAUACUGUUUGAAAACAGUAUUAUUUUGCUGUGAUCUUCUGUAAGGUCGAGGUACUACCCCAGUCGGGCUGCUCCAUAUUUUGAGCAGGAAAUUCCUACUGUGCCCUACCUCAGUUAAG
rnacentral:misc_RNA from 1 species